GCCUCCGGCUGGGGCCACCCAGGCAACCGAUAUACACAGAGAACCACGUGGAGGAAAAGCACGCGAGUUUGGAGCGGGUGGAGCAGGAACAGAGGUGGACUGGAAUGUCACACGACGGGGCAGCUGGAAGGGCACCACUGAGUUCAGUACUUCAAAAUUGCCGUGCUCUACCUCUCCCCAGUGCACAAAAACACUCUCCACACCAAGCUGCUGCUGCUGGGGGAUGGAGGGAUGGCGUCAGCGAUUCAAGACUGUUUUUCCUACCUGUUCAGCACUUCUUUCAGCGAUAUGAAGUUAAAUCCAGGCAUCAUCGCCAUCAACAUACAGCCAUACUCCAGGAUUGCCCAUCUUCAACAUAAACGGACUCUCCUGGACUCCACUUCCCACAUCAGUCACAGCCACACUUCCUGAGAAAGAAGUCUACACUCUUCAUUCACUUUCAUUCACCCACUUCCAACCUGGCUCCUGUUACCACUGGACCGUCAAAAGUGACUCUUGUCAAAGUCACUAUUCUGGCUACCUAUUGCUGUAUGUCGUCAUCAUCCACUUGUUCAAACAAGAGCCCAAGGAUCAUCCUAGAUUCCUUCUCACUUCCUCUCAAUCCAUCCCUGAAACAGCCAAACCACCAAGCAGCAAGAGGGAUCUUAUAAAAAUAUGACCAGAUCACAUCCUUCAACACUUCCCUGUUACCCUUACAAUAAAAUUCAAACUCUUCACCAUGACCUCCAAGGCUCCUAUUGAAUCCGGCUCUUGUCUGCCUCUUCAGUAACAUCAUGGACCACUCCUUACCAUUCCCUCCAUCUGGCUGUGCUUCCUGCAGCUCUUCCAAUGGCUGGCUUGUUCUCACCUUUGAAGUCUCAGCUCAAAGGACACUCCCUUGGGCUCUCCCUCAUCACCCUAACUAAUAGGUCACUUAAUAUUGUUAUUAUUUUUUAGAGACAAAGUCUCACUAUGUCACCCAGGCUUGCCUCAAACUCCUGGGCUCAAGCAAUUCUCCCACCUUGGCCUCUCAAAGUUCUAGGAUUACAGGCGUGAGCCACUAUGCCUGGCUAUGUCACUUAUUAUUCUUUAUUAUCUUCUAUAUAUAAAUGAUCCCAAUCUAUAAUUAUUUGAUUUAUUGAUUGGUUUACUUGCUUAAUAUCCAACUCCCAUACUAGAAUAUAAAUGUUAUAGAACAAGAGAUUGUCUGUACCAUCCACUGUUCUAGUCUCAUUACCCCACAUAAGGCCUGGCAUGGAGUGUGCACCUAAUAAAUGUUUGAAUAAAUAUUGACUGGAUCAGGGAUUCUUCUGAUGGGCCUGUGUGCUCUAAGAGCUGUUAUAUCCACCAGCAGUUGUGUGUUAACCUAGAGAGGAGCUAAGUCCUGUCCUCAGACUGAACCCACGAUGGCUUCCUCUCCCUUUUCCCUGGUUUUGCAGAGUAUAGAAGAAAUAACAUAAAAUUUCUUUUUUUGCAAUUAGUUUGCAAAAUAGUAGAGGCUGCUUUUUGCACUCUUACUCAUGACUCCUCCUCUGGGAAGCCGCUGUCGCCUGGCAAAAGGGCCCUACAUAUGU
rnacentral:lncRNA from 1 species